UGAGGAAUAUUGGUCAAUGGACGCAAGUCUGAACCAGCCAAGUAGCGUGCAGGAUGACGGCCCUAUGGGUUGUAAACUGCUUUUAUAUGGGGAUAAAGUGGGGAACGUGUUCCCUUUUGCAGGUACCAUAUGAAUAAGGACCGGCUAAUUCCGUGCCAGCAGCCGCGGUAAUACGUAUGUUGCGAGCGUUAUCCGGAAUUAUUGGGCUUAAAGGGCAUCUAGGCGGUAAGACAAGUUGAAGGUGAAAACCUGUGGCUCAACCAUAGGCUUGCCUACAAAACUGUUGAACUAGAGUACUGGAAAGGUGGGUGGAACUACACGAGUAGAGGUGAAAUUCGUAGAUAUGUGUAGGAAUGCCGAUGAUGAAGAUAACGCACUGGACAGAAACUGACGCUGAAGUGCGAAAGCUAGGGGAGCAAACAGG
rnacentral:rRNA from 1 species